CUGAGAAAUUGGUACUAAUACCCCAUAACAUCUCGAGUGGCAUCACUUGGGGUUGAAAGCCUCGGUGGUUAUGGAUGGGCAUGCGUUGUAUUAGCUAGUUGGUGAGGUAACGGCUCACCAAGGCGACGAUACAUAGGGGGACUGAGAGGUUAACCCCCCACAUUGGUACUGAGACACGGACCAAACUCCUACGGGAGGCAGCAGUGAGGAAUAUUGGUCAAUGGACGGAAGUCUGAACCAGCCAUGCCGCGUGCAGGAUGACGGCUCUAUGAGUUGUAAACUGCUUUUGUACGAGGGUAAACCCGAAUACGUGUAUUCGGCUGAAAGUAUCGUACGAAUAAGGAUCGGCUAACUCCGUGCCAGCAGCCGCGGUAAUACGGAGGAUCCAAGCGUUAUCCGGAUUUAUUGGGUUUAAAGGGUGCGUAGGCGGUUUGAUAAGUUAGAGGUGAAAUUUCGGGGCUCAACCCUGAACGUGCCUCUAAUACUGUUGAGCUAGAGAGUAGUUGCGGUAGGCGGAAUGUAUGGUGUAGCGGUGAAAUGCUUA
rnacentral:rRNA from 1 species